GCUGGGCGUGGUGGGGCACACCUGUAAUCCCAGCAGCUUGGGAGGCUGAGACAGGAGAAUCCUAAAUUCAAAUCCAGUCUCAG
rnacentral:sRNA from 1 species